rnacentral:rRNA from 1 species
GUGGGGAAUAUUGGACAAUGGGCGAAAGCCUGAUCCAGCCAUGCCGCGUGUGUGAAGAAGGUCUUCGGAUUGUAAAGCACUUUAAGUUGGGAGGAAGGGCAGUAAGCUAAUACCUUGCUGUUUUGACGUUACCGACAGAAUAAGCACCGGCUAACUUCGUGCCAGCAGCCGCGGUAAUACGAAGGGUGCAAGCGUUAAUCGGAAUUACUGGGCGUAAAGCGCGCGUAGGUGGUUCAGCAAGUUGGAGGUGAAAUCCCCGGGCUCAACCUGGGAACUGCCUCCAAAACUACUGAGCUAGAGUACGGUAGAGGGUAGUGGAAUUUCCUGUGUAGCGGUGAAAUGCGUAGAUAUAGGAAGGAACACCAGUGGCGAAGGCGACUACCUGGACUGAUACUGACACUGAGGUGAGAAAGCGUGGGGAGCAAACAGGAUUAGAUACCCCGGUAGUCC